rnacentral:lncRNA from 11 species
UAGCAGUCUAUACCUGCCUACCGAGGAUACCACUUGAUGCAUUGUGCUGUUCUCCAAAUAUCUCUAGUACACUGUGGACUCUUCUGCAGAAACAGCCCAAUCCGACAUCCCAAACAUUAAAUCAAGCUCACAUGGCAUCUUCAUUGGGAUCCCCUCAGCCACCUUGGCUAAAAUCAUUUUUCAGCAAUUAAGCUAAACUAAGGACAAAGGGGGAAAGUGGAGAAGAGAAGAGAAAAGAAGAGAAGAACUAGGGCAUUUUAAAAGUGUGAUGAUGGAGGAUUGUUCCUGAUUCUCCCUGCCAAACAGAGAUAGUUGAGAUAAUGAGGAAUGCUCUCCAUUCAUCAGGCAAUUCCCCUCCCUCAGACGUUAUAUGCAGAUCUAGAGGAAAAACCCAUUUUGCCACAGAUCCUGAAUCACCUAAUGCCAUCAUCAGCCAUCGCCUCACCCAUUGUUCAGGGAUCUGCCAGCCCCUCUUUCAUCAUUGGACAGGCGGAGAAUUUGCAUCGAAGGCAGGCGGCACUCUCUCUUUCACUGAGACUUCAUAUCCAUGUCUGCUAGGAUGA